rnacentral:rRNA from 1 species
CAGCAGCCGCGGUAAUACGAAGGGGGCUAGCGUUGCUCGGAAUGACUGGGCGUAAAGGGCGCGUAGGCGGUUUGUCGAGUUAGAUGUGAAAUUCCCGGGCUUAACCUGGGGACUGCAGUUGAUACUGGCAGGCUUGAGUGUGGAAGAGGGUCGUGGAAUUCCCAGUGUAGAGGUGAAAUUCGUAGAUAUUGGGAAGAACACCAGUGGCGAAGGCGGCGACCUGGUCCAUAACUGACGCUGAGGCGCGAAAGCGUGGGGAGCAAACAGGAUUAGAUACCCCCGUAGUCCCUGUCUCUUAUAC